UUUAUGAUCGCAAAUUUCUUUGCCUCAAACUCGGACUUUUGUUCUGCAGAAUUGAGGAACGUGAAAACUUCAUUAUCAUCAAGACAGUUGUAUGGUGAUGAUGCUAAUUCAUAUGCUAACUCAAAUCCUAAAACAUCUAGCUGAUUACAAAGUGCCCGACAUUCUUCAGUUCUCGAUGCAUUAUUAGAUCAUCUAGCAUAAGAAUGGAAGUGUCUGUGAAACGUUUUACCCAAAAUUAAUGGUGUUUUACACAAGAAAAUAUAAAUUUUGUGGAAAGUCUGACUCGAGCACAACACGAAAUUCAAGCAUCGCAUGAGUUAAGGAAUAAAAGCAUCAAAAGCAUUUGAUGUUUCACGAUGCAAAAUAACUGUU